UGAGGAAUAUUGGACAAUGGGCGAAAGCCUGAUCCAGCCAUGCCGCGUGUGUGAAGAAGGUCUUCGGAUUGUAAAGCACUUUAAGUUGGGAGGAAGGGUUGUAGAUUAAUACUCUGCAAUUUUGACGUUACCGACAGAAUAAGCACCGGCUAACUCUGUGCCAGCAGCCGCGGUAAUACAGAGGGUGCAAGCGUUAAUCGGAAUUACUGGGCGUAAAGCGCGCGUAGGUGGUUUGUUAAGUUGGAUGUGAAAUCCCCAGGCUCAACCUGGGAACUGCAUCCAAAACUGGCAAGCUAGAGUAUGGUAGAGGGUGGUGGAAUUUCCUGUGUAGCGGUGAAAUGCGUAGAUAUAGGAAGGAACACCAGUGGCGAAGGCGACACCUGGACUGAUACUGACACUGAGGUGCGAAAGCGUGGGGAGCAAACAGGAUUAGAUACCCAGGUAGUCCCUGAGCGGGCUGGCAAGGCGCAU
rnacentral:rRNA from 1 species